rnacentral:rRNA from 1 species
UACGUAGGGUGCAAGCGUUGUCCGGAAUUAUUGGGCGUAAAGAGCUCGUAGGCGGUCUGUCGCGUCUGCUGUGAAAACUCAGGGCUUAACCCUGAGCUUGCAGUGGGUACGGGCAGACUAGAGUGCGGUAGGGGAGACUGGAAUUCCUGGUGUAGCGGUGAAAUGCGCAGAUAUCAGGAGGAACACCGGUGGCGAAGGCGGGUCUCUGGGCCGGAACUGACGCUAAGGAGCGAAAGCGUGGGGAGCGAACAGG